rnacentral:tRNA from 1 species
AUUCAGGUAGUUUAAUUAGAAUUAUAAUUUGUGGUGUUAUGGGUGAAUUUUUUCUCUGGGUC